rnacentral:rRNA from 1 species
CGGACGGGUGAGUAACGCGUGAGUAACCUGCCUCAUACAGGGGAUAACAGUUAGAAAUGACUGCUAAUACCGCAUAAGACCACAGCACCGCAUGGUGCAGGGGUAAAAACUCCGGUGGUAUGAGAUGGACCCGCGUCUGAUUAGGUAGUUGGUGGGGUAACGGCCUACCAAGCCGACGAUCAGUAGCCGACCUGAGAGGGUGACCGGCCACAUUGGGACUGAGACACGGCCCAA